CAGACCCUGAGCCAGACAGCCAGGAGGCCAAGGCUUACAGGUGAUGUCCCCAAGGGCCUUGGGAUCUGUGAGGAGUUGCUGAAUCAGAAGACAUGUGAGCCUGAGAGCUCUGUAGUCAUCAAGGCCUGGGGUCAGUGGGACUGGAACUGGUCAGACUGGUGAGGGCUGAAGGCUGGGACCAACCAUCUCCCUCAAGUGAGGAGCCGGAAUAAGCCCUGCAGCCACCAUCCCCACUCUCUUCGCCCACUCCUCAGCAUCUGCCAUGAAGCAGCAGCCACCAAGGGGCAACUGUAAGAUCAAACAAGCCCCUGCUUCUCAGCAAACAGCCCUCAAGCAGCAGCUCCUGUGAGCUCCGCCAGCUGCACGAGGGAGCAGAGGCAGAAGGGAGACUCGGCUGCCCCCCACCCCCCACCACCCCGGCAGGUUGGGAGGGCUCACCCGGACCCAGCGGCAGGUGGAAGAGAGGCGCUUGUCUAGGUUCCGUGAGAACCCCGAAGGCAGCUGGGGUAUGGGACUACCCAGUGCAUGCAGUAGACGCCCUGGGCUGGAAGCCUGGCCUCAGGCUCGGAGAGCUUCCUGAGGAAAAGUGUGCAAGUGUGCGAUGGCUCACACCACUGACCCACUGCUCCCGGCCGACAACAGCACAGAAUCUGCGGCUGGCCAGGAGUGAGUCUACCUGGGAAGCUUACAGGGGAGAGAGGCGUGGUGGAAGGAAAGGUGCUAUCCUGCCCCCGGCAGAACAGAGGAAAAGGCACAUGAAUCCGCCAUAAUGGAAUGUCAUUUGGCCAUGAAAAGGAACAAAAUGUUUUUUACAUGAUAUGACACGGGUGAACCUUGAGAGUAUAUGCUAAGUGAAAGAAGACAAUCUCAAAAGGCCACACGUUGUAGGAGUUCAGGCAAAUUCAUACGGACAGAAAGAGUUUGAAGCUGCCAGGGGCUGUGGCGAGCAGGGAAUGAACAGCGACUGCUAACAGAUGGGGAAAGUGUUCUGGCACUAGCAUGAGGAUCCCACUCUGAAAAGGUCUAUAAUUAUUUCAAAAUGAAGAGCAGAAGGCAUUGGGAUGAGGGGCCCCUUCUGGAUCAAGUUGGACUUAGGAGACAUAACUGAACACAACCAGUGGGUCCUGGGUAGAUCCUGGCUAUGAAUAAACUAACAGUUGAAGAC